UGGUGGAGUGAUUUGUCUGCUUAAUUGCGUUAACGAACGAGACCUUAACCUGCUAAAUAGUACUACCUUACUCCGGUAAAGUAGCCUACUUCUUAGAGGGACUUUGCGUGUUUAUCGCAAGGAAGUUUGAGGCAAUAACA
rnacentral:rRNA from 1 species